UAAUACGAGGGGUGCUAGCGUUGUCCGGAAUCACUGGGCGUAAAGGGUCCGUAGGCGUUUUGCUAAGUUGAUUGUUAAAUCCAUCGGCUCAACCGAUGACCUGCAAUCAAAACUGGUAGAAUAGAGUUCGAGAGAGGAAAGUAGAAUUCCUGGUGUAGCGGUGACAUGCGUAGAUAUCAGGAGGAACACCAAUGGCGAAGGCAGCUUUCUGGCUCGAUACUGACGCUGAGGGACGAAAGCGUGGGGAGCGAACAGGAUUAGAUACCCUGGUAGUCCACGCCGUAACGAUGAGUACUUGAUGUCGGGGGAUUCAACCCCUUCGGUGUCGUAGCUAACGCGAUAAGUACUCCGCCUGGGGACUACGACCGCAAGGUUG
rnacentral:rRNA from 1 species